rnacentral:rRNA from 1 species
UACGUAGGGUGCAGGCGUUAAUCGGAAUUACUGGGCGUAAAGCGUGCGCAGGCGGUUUUGUAAGCCAGAUGUGAAAGCCCCGGGCUCAACCUGGGAAUGGCAUUUGGGACUGCAAGGCUGGAGUUUGGCAGAGGAGACUGGAAUUCCUGGUGUAGCAGUGAAAUGCGUUGAGAUCGGAAGGAACGCCCGCGGCGAAAGCGAGGUCCUGGACUCUAACUGACGUUGAGGCGCGAAAGCCAGGGGAGCGAACGGG